GACGAACGCUGGCGGCGUGCCUAAUACAUGCAAGUAGAACGCAGUUGCGAACGGGUGAUUAACGCGUAGGUAACUGCCUGGUAGCGGGGGAUAACUAUUGGAAACGAUAGCUAAUACCGCAUACUACCAGAUGUACCUGCGUUGUAUUAGCUAGUUGGUGAGGUAACGCCUCACCAAGGCAACGAUACAUAGCCGACCUGAGAGGGUGAGUCGCCACACUGGGACUGAGACACGGCCCCGACUCCUACGGGAGGCAGCAGUAGGGAAUCUUCGGCAAUGGGGGGAAACCUGAACGAGCAACGCCGGGUGAGUGAAGAAGGUUUUCGGAGUGUAAAGCUCUGUUGUUAAGGAAGCGGUACUUAACCAGAAAGGGACGGCUAACUACGUGCCAGCAGCCGCGGUAAUUC
rnacentral:rRNA from 1 species